rnacentral:rRNA from 1 species
ACAGCAGCCGCGGUAAUACGUAGGGGGCGAGCGUUGUCCGGAAUGACUGGGCGUAAAGGGCGCGUAGACGGCUUUAUAAGUCUGGAGUGAAAGUCCUGCUUUCAAGGUGGGAAUUGCUUUGGAGACUGUAGGGCUUGAGUGCGGAAGAGGUAAGUGGAAUUCCCAGUGUAGCGGUGAAAUGCGUAGAGAUUGGGAGGAACACCAGUGGCGAAGGCGACUUACUGGGCCGUAACUGACGUUGAAGCGCGAAAGCGUGGGGAGCGAACAGGAUUAGAUACCCUGGUAGUCCACGCGGUAAACGAUGAGUGCUAGGUGUAGCGGGUAUCGACCCCUGCUGUGCCGGAGUUAACACAAUAAGCACUCCGCCUGGGGAGUACGGCCGCAAGGUUGAAACUUAAAGGAAUUGGCGGGGGAU